GUGCUUACUUUGGCAGCACAUAUACUAAAAUUGAAAUGAUAUAGAGAUUAGCAUGAUCACUGCACAAGGAUGACGUGCAAAUUUGUGAAGCGUUCCAUAUAGAA